AGAGGAGCCGAUUACCCUUGAGAGGGAGGACCAGCUGCGGGCCGCACCCACGUGGAAACUGGAAGGGCGAGCCUCUCCUGGACAGCCCGUAUUUGGAUCUCCUGGUCUGAGCUGAUGAUUGCCAUCCUCCAGGCAUAAUCUCUGCUGAGAGGCUCGCCAUCGUGCAGCGCUAUGCAUUGCCAGAGCACGUGAGUGAAACCUAGCUCCCAACAAACGUGGCCAGCAGAUCACUGACGAGGAAGAGGAGGCUCAAGUAACACUCCUCAACCAAGCUUGGCGGGCUCAGCUGCUGAGGCCUGUGGAGCCCUGGACUGGGAACCUCACCGACAUGCUUCUCCAACCUCUUUCCUUGUACAAUAAAUAAUUCUCAGUUAAUACUUGAAGUCAUAUGCCAUAACCAAACGUGCAAAUGGUUCAGCCAAUUUAAUAUAGUUGUCACUGACACAUGCACUUUUGAUUGCAAUCGGGGCCGAUCCGAAUCGGACUUCUUGAGCGCGAUUAGCAAGUUGGUCGCUGCUACGCGGUGCAGCCUGAGCCAGGUUAAGUUUGGCAUGGGCAUCAGCCAAAUCGUGAUGCACGAAUUGUGAUAGUUUUUGAUCGCAAUUAAAUGUGACCGUGUAGCAGCUCCUUAUCCGGAUCGAGCCUAAUCCAGAUCAGCCCUGAUCGCGAUUAAAAGUGCCCAUGCGACACCGGUAUAAGACGCACAUGAUGCUUGCAGAGGAUGAACAUUCCAGAUGUCUUGUGGUUGGAUUAUGUCCAGUGUGACAAAAGCUCAUUAAUGAACAAUGAUUCCUAUUGAAGCCCUUGUCUUGUCGUAUAGAAUUUGCCACACAACUUAGGUUACAAAUUAGGGUGCCCUACGAUGUCCAUGACUGAACCCCCCCCCCC
rnacentral:lncRNA from 1 species